GACGAACGCUGGCGGCGUGCUUAACACAUGCAAGUCGAACGAAGAGCGACGGAAGCUUGCUUCUAUCAAUCUUAGUGGCGAACGGGUGAGUAACGCGUAAUCAACCUGCCCUUCAGAGGGGGACAACAGUUGGAAACGACUGCUAAUACCGCAUACGAUCUAAUCUCGGCAUCGAGGAUGGAUGAAAGGUGGCCUCUACAUGUAAGCUAUCACUGAAGGAGGGGAUUGCGUCUGAUUAGCUAGUUGGAGGGGUAACGGCCCACCAAGGCGAUGAUCAGUAGCCGGUUUGGGGGAAUGACCGCCCAAUUGGGACCGGGAAACGGCCCAAGCCUCCAACGGGAGGAAGAAGGGGGGAACCUUCGGAAUUGAAGGAAGGUCGGCGGAGCAACGCCGCGUGAGUGAUGACGGCCUUCGGGUUGUAAAGCUCUGUUAAUCGGGACGAAAGGCCUUCUUGCGAAUAGUGAGAAGGAUUGACGGUACCGGAAUAGAAAGCCACGGCUAACUACGUG
rnacentral:rRNA from 1 species